rnacentral:other from 1 species
AUAGGACGCCUCUUAGAUGACAGGGUGUGAAGAGCCUACUGAGCUGGGUAGUAGUCUCCGGCCCCUGAAUGCGGCUAAUCCUAACCACGGAGCGUCCACCAGCAAUCCAGCUGGCAGGGCGUCGUAACGGGCAACUCUGUGGCGGAACCGACUACUUUGGGUGUCCGUGUUUCCUUUUGAUCCUAUUUUGGCUGCUUAUGGUGACAACGAUAAGUUGUUAUCAUAAAGCUCUUGGGUUGGCCACCUGGAA